ensembl:snoRNA SNORA70 Small nucleolar RNA SNORA70
UUAUAGCCAAUUGAGAUGACCAAGUCCCUUCUUCAUGAAGGCCUAUGUGCAAUGGCUGCAAACAGAAGCCGCCUUGAUAGCACAUUUAGCCUGCUGCCUAUGUGGGUUGCACCAGGACACGGUGGCCAGGG